AUACGUUUUCCUUUUUAUUUGUAUUGUAGUCCUGUAAUAUUAUGUUGUCAUUUCAAUGUUAUAUUUAACAUAGCCAUUAAAGUGCGAGGUUUGGCAUGCCACAGAACCAAGGUUCAACCCACCAUUUUUUCCUUUAAAAAUGUCCUGUACCAAGUCAGGAAUAUGGCCAUUGUUAUAUUAUUGUUCGUUUCUGUGUGUGUUACAUUUUAACGUUGCGUCGUUUGUUUUCUCUUAUUUUUGAGUGUAAUUGCACAUUUCGAUAAGACGUGUCACGGUACUUGUCUAUCCCAAAUUCAUGUAUUUGGUUUUGAUGUUAUAUUUGUUAUUCUCGUGGAAUUUUUUCUGAUGCUUGGUCCGUUUCUGUGUGUGUUACAUUUUAGUGUUGUGUCGUUGUUCUCUUCUUAUAUUUAAUGCGUUUCCCUCGGUUUUAGUUUGUUACCCCGAUUUUGUUUUUUGUCCAUGUAUUUAUGAGUUUUGAACAGCGGUAUACUACUGUUGCCUUUAUUUA
rnacentral:lncRNA from 1 species